UGGUUAAACUCUACUGCGGUGACAAUACUGUAGGGGAAGCCCUGCGGAAAAAUAGCUCGACGCCAGGAUGAUUAAAAGCUUAACG
rnacentral:rRNA from 1 species